rnacentral:rRNA from 1 species
CGGUACGCGAGCUGGGUUCAGAACGUCGUGAGACAGUUCGGUCCCUAUCCGUCGCGGGCGCAGGAAAUUUGAGAGGAGCUGUCCUUAGUACGAGAGGACCGGGAUGGACGCACCGCUGGUGUACCAGUUGUUCUGCCAAGGGCAUCGCUGGGUAGCUAUGUGCGGACGGGAUAAGUGCUGAAAGCAUCUAAGCAUGAAGCCCCCCUCAAGAUGAGAUUUCCCAUUCCGCAAGGAAGUAAGAUCCCUGAAAGAUGAUCAGGUUGAUAGGUCUGAGGUGGAAGUGUGGCGACACAUGGAGCUGACAGAUACUAAUCGAUCGAGGACUUAACCA